rnacentral:rRNA from 1 species
CACGUAGGGCGCAAGCGUUGUCCGGAAUUAUUGGGCGUAAAGAGCUCGUAGGCGGUCUGUUACGUCUGCUGUGAAAACCCGGGGCUUAACCCUGGGCUUGCAGUGGAUACGGGCAGACUAGAGGCAGGUAGGGGAGAAUGGAAUUCCCGGUGUAGCGGUGAAAUGCGCAGAUAUCGGGAGGAACACGGGUGGCGAAGGCGGGCUGCUGGACCCCUUCUGACGCUGAGGCGCGAAAGCCAGGGGAGCGAACGGG